rnacentral:lncRNA from 1 species
GGGAAAGACAGGCUCACAGACACAUGGUCAUGACAGCGUGGAGGAUGAGUGGAAGUAGUGUGUUCACGGUGCUGUGAGAGCACAAAGGACAUCCCAGGCAAGAGGUGGGUGAAGAGCUGUGGGACAAGCAGUAGAGGCUUCAUAGAGAAGGCAAGACCAGAUCUCAGUCUGGAAGGCUGAGCAGGAAAUCAAGUGGGUUGUGUAAGG